AGGGAGUACGUUUUCUUUCUAAUGUAGUUGAAAUCUUUUUUUCUGAGCCAAUCAGCAAUUCAUCAUACAGGUUUGUAAUUUCAGUUUUAUACCAACACUGAAGCAGCAAUCUGUUUUUCAGUGGGCUUUAUUCCUACAGUUAAGGCAAUGUAAUGCCAGCUUAGAAAGUGCAUUUCUGUAUCAUCUUCUGUCACAAGAUUGCCGUAUGAUUCAAAGGAAGUCACUUAAACCAGACUUUUGAGAGGAAAGAUGUUCCUCAUUUUCUUCGUGCUUAUCUUGUCACAGCAAAGUUUUCAUUUGCAAAAAUGCAGCUCUGACUGAAACUAAUAAAAGUUAGGCUGUGAAAAAAUAAACCAAAAAAACUAUGAAAAUAUGUAUGUAGACAACUCAAAAUGGGCAAAGACAAUCUUAAAUCUGUAUUUUUCUAAAGUUUAUACUUCACAAAUUGAUUUUAUUUAAAAGCAAAUAAAAUAGAAAAUGGAAAUAUCCUUAUGUUGAGCAAUUGGAAAACAUUAAAAUUGGUCAGAAUGCCAGAACUCAAGGGACAAUUACAUUCUAUUAACUAUUCAUGUUUAAAAUGGCUUAUGGCUAAGUCCUAGUGGGGAAAAUCAGUCUCCAGUGAUUUGCCUUAGGGUUGAAGGGAGCACAGGUGAUAGCUUUCAGAACCUUCUACCCUUUCUUUUUACUAAGCUCCUCUUUUCUGCUGUUACUGUCCAUCCCAUAUGAAAAGUAAAAUGCCCAGAUUGAACUAUUUAUCAUCCUAUUGCAUUUCAUGCCUCAAGGAUUAAGUAAAUAUUUAAUAAUACUGAGGAAUGUUGAAACACCAAAGCUGGGAAAAAACUGUAAAAGAUUCUACUAAGCUUGAAACCUGUCAUCCAGGACUUUUAACCAGUAGUUUCAACUGUUUUGCUGUGCAGGUUUGCUCCUUCAACAGUGAAUUGAGCUGAAACAAUGAUUUACAGCCUACUUACAUCCUUCCUGAAAGUAGCACUUCUCAACAGUUUUGUCAGAGCUUCAGAAGCACAUCUUGAGGUCAGUAACUUCAUGUACAGUGGUGGAUUGACCCUGUCUGGAUGUCAGGCAGCCACCAAAGCCUCCACCACUUCUCUCUGCAGCUGGACAGAGAAGAGAAAGUACAACAAAAGGUUCAUGAGUUAAGGACUGGGAGAGAGAUCAUUCACCAAAUACCAUCAUGGGAAAAGGAGACUUGAAUUAUAAAUGUUAAUUGAAUUUAUGACUAACAAAAUCAGAGCAGGAUAAUGAGAAGUAAAAUAAGAUCUUGAAAACACCUUCCCCCAUUCCUCCUUCCUUCCCAGUUCCAUCUCCUUCACCAGUGGUGUAAGGAGAGAGGAAAUGAGGGUUAUAGUCAACUUGUCACGCGUUUCUGCCACUGCUGAGGGAGAGGAGUCCUUCUCCUGCUCCAGCAUGGUUCCUCCCCUGGGAGACAGCUCUCCAUGAGCUUCUUCAAUGUGGGUUCACCCCACAGGCAACAGCUCUCUGUGAACUGCUGCAAUGUGAGUCACUCUUCCACAGGGUGCAGUCCUUCAAGGACAGCCUGCCCCAGAAUGUGUCCCCCGUGGGGUCACAAGUCCUACAGGGAAACCUCUCCAACAUGGGUUCCUCUCUCCAGG
rnacentral:lncRNA from 1 species